rnacentral:rRNA from 1 species
UGUUUAUUUUUUUUUUUGGUUUUUUUUUAAGGGUUUUCACUUCUCUCAGAUUGAACGCUGGCGGCAGGCCUAACACAUGCAAGUCGAGCGGCAGCACGGGUACUUGUACCUGGUGGCGAGCGGCGGACGGGUGAGUAAUGCCUAGGAAUCUGCCUGGUAGUGGGGGAUAACGCUCGGAAACGGACGCUAAUACCGCAUACGUCCUACGGGAGAAAGCAGGGGACCUUCGGGCCUUGCGCUAUCAGAUGAGCCUAGGUCGGAUUAGCUAGUUGGUGAGGUAAUGGCUCACCAAGGCGACGAUCCGUAACUGGUCUGAGAGGAUGAUCAGUCACACUGGAACUGAGACACGGUCCAGACUCCUACGGGAGGCAGCAGUGGGGAAUAUUGGACAAUGGGCGAAAGCCUGAUCCAGCCAUGCCGCGUGUGUGAAGAAGGUCUUCGGAUUGUAAAGCACUUUAAGUUGGGAGGAAGGGCAUUAACCUAAUACGUAAGUGUUUUGACGUUACCGACAGAAUAAGCACCGGCUAACUCUGUGCCAGCAGCCGCGGUAAUACAGAGGGUGCAAGCGUUAAUCGGAAUUACUGGGCGUAAAGCGCGCGUAGGUGGUUUGUUAAGUUGGAUGUGAAAUCCCCGGGCUCAACCUGGGAACUGCAUUCAAAACUGACAAGCUAGAGUAUGGUAGAGGGUGGUGGAAUUUCCUGUGUAGCGGUGAAAUGCGUAGAUAUAGGAAGGAACACCAGUGGCGAAGGCGACCACCUGGACUGAUACUGACACUGAGGUGCGAAAGCGUGGGGAGCAAACAGGAUUAGAUACCCUGGUAGUCCACGCCGUAAACGAUGUCAACUAGCCGUUGGGAGCCUUGAGCUCUUAGUGGCGCAGCUAACGCAUUAAGUGACCGCCUGGAGACGCCGAACUGU